rnacentral:rRNA from 1 species
CAUGGCUGUCGUCAGCUCGUGUUGUGAAAUGUUGGGUUAAGUCCCGUAACGAGCGCAACCCUUAUCCUUAUUUGCCAGCACUUCGGGUGGGAACUCUAAGGAGACUGCCGGUGACAAACCGGAGGAAGGUGGGGACGACGUCAAGUCAUCAUGGCCCUUACGACCAGGGCUACACACGUGCUACAAUGGUAAAUACAAAGGGACGCCAAGCCGCGAGGUGGAGCUAAUCCCAGAAAAUUUAUCGUAGUCCGGAUUGGAGUCUGCAACUCGACUCCAUGAAGUCGGAAUCGCUAGUAAUCGUGGAUCAGAAUGCCACGGUGAAUACGUUCCCGGGCCUUGUACAC